rnacentral:rRNA from 1 species
AGAGAGAGACAUGCGCGCAUAUCAAUAAGCGGAGGAAAAGAAACUAACUAGGAUUCCCUCAGUAACGGCGAGUGAAGCGGGAAGAGCUCAAAUUUGAAAUCUUCAAGGUUCUACCUUGACGAAUUGUAGUUUAAAGAAGUGUUUUCUGUUGAGGUUUGGUAAAAGUUCUUUGGAAUAGGACAUCAUAGAGGGUGAGAAUCCCGUAUUUGACCAUUACUUUCCAACUUUGUGAUACACUUUCAAAGAGUCGGAUUGUUUGGGAAUGCAGUCCAAAAUGGGUGGUAAAUUUCAUCUAAAGCUAAAUAUUGGCGAGAGACCGAUCAGCGAACAAGUACCGUGAGGGAAAGAUGAAAAGAACUUUGAAAAGAGAGUUAAACAGUACGUGAAAUUGUCAAAAGGGAAGCGUUUGACACCAGUGUUGUUUUCUCGAAAAUCAAUUAAAAGAGGCAGGAUUUUGUGUUGUAUUGACUUUAUCAGCUUUCUGCACUCUUUUCUUGUCUUUUUUAAUGCACUUUUCGUUUAACAAGUCAACAUCAAUUUCUUUUGUUGUAAAAGGGUCAUUGGAAGGUGGCUUUCUUUUCGGAGAAAGUGUUUAUAGCCUUUGGCCUCUGCAAUCGGAGAGAUUGAGGUCUGCAGCGUAGAUCCUUCGGGGUUAGAUACAUUUGUGCUAAGUUAUAGCCUUUCAUAGACAACUUGUUGACUAUGAUCAGUCAUGUAGCUUACUCGCUUAUGCUAUUUUACCUACGCUUAGGAUGUUGAUGUGAUACUGCGAGCA